rnacentral:lncRNA from 1 species
GCAGUACGCGUCUCUACUUAGAACUAUUUUCAGCGUAACAGUUUUUGUAUUUUCUUGUAGCCUGGGAACACCGUUCAAUUGGUGCGACAGAAGCUUAUGCAGCUUCCGUCUCACGCAUUGUAUGGAAACGGUUGAAUACCGCUUGUAGUUACUUUCUUGCCCUAGAGUUGAACUAGUAAAAGGUGCCCAUGCUGCGAGUGCAGUCGUAACGCUUUGACGUUGGAUCCGAGCCCAUGGAGAAAGUUGGAGCUGUAGAGCUGUAUGUUUUUGGACAAAGUCAUCAAUUCCAUUGCUCUUCCUAUGCCAAGUGGCCAG